UACGUAGGGGGCUAGCGUUGUCCGGAAUCAUUGGGCGUAAAGCGCGUGUAGGCGGCCACGCAGGUCCGCUGUGAAAACUCGAGGCUCAACCUCGAGCUGUCGGUGGAAACCGCGUGGCUAGAGUCCGGAAGAGGGGACUGGAAUUCCCGGUGUAGCGGUGGAAUGCGCAGAUAUCGGGAGGAACACCCGUGGCGAAGGCGGGUCCCUGGGACGGUACUGACGCUGAGACGCGAAAGCGUGGGGAGCGAACAGG
rnacentral:rRNA from 1 species